CUCCUUUUAUUUAUUUAUUUAUAUCUAACCCAUUUUCGUUUUCACCAUGCGGAGCUCUCUCUCUCACAUCUCCACCGCCCCUAGCCACCUCCCUAGCCCUAGCCACCACCACCUCCCUAGCCCUAACCGCCGCCACCGCCAUCGCCCUAGCUGUAGCCGCCGCCGCCAUAGAUAUACUCUCUCUCACCUCAACCACCACCCGCUGCCAUUAAUGGAAUAAUGAUUAUUUUCAAUCUUCAUAGUAUUUUUCUUAUCAUUUUUAUUGUUAUUUUUUUUUUUUCAGGAUAGAAGCUUUACUUUCAUUUUGAAGACACCCCCUGCUUCAGUUCUGCUUUUAAAAGACGCAGGUAUGCUUCUUUAACAAUGCCCAUUAUGUGUUUGAUUGUUUUACCCUUCGUUUGUUUGGCAUUUACUGAAUGUAAUUAAGCAUCUAAUUCUUGGAUUUUAACAGUGUGUUUCAGAGCUAUUACCAAUUUGAUGUAGUAACUUAUUGAGUGGUUAUUACUUGAAUGAAGCUUCGUUUUCAUACAUCCAACAUGUAAUGUUACAGCUUACAAGUAGAAUCUAGAAAACUAGAAUUUUUUCAUCACUGAUGUUUUCAUAUGGGAAAAUUUACUUAUUUGAAAAAGUGGAGCAUCUUGGAUUUGAUUUCGGCAUUGACUCUGAUUGUGCUAGAUGAAAAGUGAACUCAUUAUUAUCUUGCUAAGGGCUCAUUAGAAUACUCAGAAUGGAGAAAUUGUGCGGAAAGUUUACUACGCUUUUUGAAAGGCCUCUUAAAUGAAAUACUCAUCUACAAACAUAACAAGCGAGCACCUGUCAGUGGCUCCAGACCAUAAAUUUUGAGAUGCUUAAAUCCUAAUGAACAACAAAUAUGAUAAUGAACUUUAAAGGGGAGAGUUUGGAAUAAUUUGAUUGUGUUCUAUACAAUUAAUUUGUGAUGGAAAAAGUGCUCGAUCCUGUAAGUUCUUCUUCAUUAGAUCAUCUCUCAAACCCACACUCACUGUAAGUUCUUCUUCUUUUCUUUCUAAAGGUUUUUUUUUAAUUUUUUUUGUUGAUUAAUGAAUGCCAUUGUUGUUUGAUAUAGUAUGUUGUGAAUUUUGUAAGUUAUUUUUUAUUAUGCUCAGUUUCCUUUUCUUAUUAAACCCAUGGACAAGCCUAUGUUACCAUUGAUCGGCACUCUACUGUUCUACUAAUUUUAUAUAUUAGUAUAAUAAUAGUAUAGCAUCGGAGGAGUGGGGCUCAUCAAAGAACUAAGAACCCACGAGGUUGCCAUUGCCGAACUCAAUAAUCUUUAUUCAUCUAGAUUAAAGCUCAAGGAAACAUGAUAUGUGGUCCAUAUCUGCAUGAGGUUGACCACUCAUUUAUUGUGAUAAGGAAUUUGGAUGGUGUGUUAUGGACUGCAAUAUUUGGUAUUAAGGAUGGUACUUGCAAAGAUGAAGAGGACAACUCAAACAAUAACAUGGAGGUCGAAAGCAACUUGGAGGGUGACCUAGAGGAAAACUACUAUAGAUCUUUUCAUAAUUCUAGUUGUUUAAAACAAUAUUUUUAUGUUAUGGUUUAAUUUCAGGAUUUCUUUGUAUAUUUUAUAUUUUAAAGUUUGGACUUAUAAGAAUUUUUAUGUUUCAAUGGAUCAAUUUUUGGUAAU